rnacentral:rRNA from 1 species
UACGUAGGGGGCAAGCGUUGUCCGGAUUUAUUGGGCGUAAAGAGCGUGUAGGCGGCCAUACAGGUCCGUUGUGAAAACUCGAGGCUCAACCUCGAGACGUCGAUGGAAACCGUAUGGCUAGAGUCCGGAAGAGGAGAGUGGAAUUCCUGGUGUAGCGGUGAAAUGCGCAGAUAUCAGGAAGAACACCCGUGGCGAAGGCGGCUCUCUGGGACGGUA